UACGGGGGGGGCAAGCGUUGUUCGGAAUUACUGGGCGUAAAGGGUGCGUAGGCGGCCUAUUAAGUCAGGGGUGAAAGACGGUAGCUUAACUAUCGCAGUGCCUUUGAUACUGAUAGGCUUGAAUGUACUUGAGGUAGGCGGAAUGUGACAAGUAGCGGUGAAAUGCAUAGAUAUGUCACAGAACACCAAUUGCGAAGGCAGCUUACUAAAGUAUGAUUGACGCUGAGGCACGAAAGCGUGGGGAUCAAACAGG
rnacentral:rRNA from 1 species